CGUGCAGCCGGGUCUGCAAGUCAGAUGUGAAAUCCAUGGGCUCAACCCAUGAACUGCAUUUGAAACUGUAGAUCUUGAGUGUCGGAGGGGCAAUCGGAAUUUCCAGUGUAGCGGUGAAAUGCGUAGAUAUUGGGAAGAACACCAGUGGCGAAGGCGGCUUUCUGGACUGUAACUGACGCUGAGGCUCGAAAGGCUAGGGUAGCGAACG
rnacentral:rRNA from 1 species